GGGACUGCCAGCAGAGGGGGCUAGGGGCCAUGGUGGGAGGGGCCAGGCAGAGGAGCAGAGGAUGGGCUGGAUCCGCCCCUGUGCUCACCACAGCCUCACAGCCCACAGUUCCUUUCAAGGUGCAAGACUUCAUGCACUGGGUCCUAGAAAUACCUUAUAUAGAAAGUGCCUGGUGCACAGUAGUUGUUCAAUAGGCCAGAGCUAUUAUUAUUGCUAUUAUUAUAUGUGCAUAAGUAGACUUUUGGAAUGAUGGUAGUACAGAUAUAUCAGUUAGCCUUCUAACUAAGUAACUGGAGCCCCCCGCCUAGUAUCUUUGUGAAGCUUUAUGUGCCAGGGAAAAGGGUUGUUUUCCACCCUCUAACUGGAAGUACCAUGUCUUUCUGCAACACAUGUGUGACUUCUGACAAUCCUGGUCAACUGUGUCCCAGAACAAAAUGAAGCUGUUUUCCCUGAAUACCAUUCUUUUUCACGAUGGUUGAUAGAGGUUCACUAACAAUUUUGAUCUGGUAAAGAGUCAGUCAGUGGAAAAUUAGAAAUUUUAAUGAAGAUUCUCAUUAGUUGUUCUUCACAAAUAAUGGGCUAUAAUCCAACUCAAGAUUCUUAGCAAAGCAAUUCCUAUUUCAAUUAUCACAAGUAAUUAUUAGUUAGUGUUUAUAUCACUUUGUGCUUCUUAAGUACUUUCAAUUAUUUUUUUCUUUGAAAAAAAAAACCCCAAAAAACAAAACCCCACAAUGACACUAAAGAACCAGAAAACAAGCCCUUUGAGGCAUCUCAGAAUGUUAAUUUCCAUUUCACAGUUGGGGGAAUGUGGGAUAGUUAUUGAGCAAACACCAAUGUAUUCUGUUAUCCUUACAAAAAUAAUGCAAAUUUCUAUCCUAAUGGUUGCCCACGACCAGCUCCUACUAUUAAAUAAAUGUAUUUAUACACAAAAACAUCAACAUGUACAUGCAUGGUUGAAAAGAUGCUCUUAGAUCAAUGCUUCUAAUGCUCAGCAAAGAAAUAGACUCCCUGCAUGAUUUCUCUUCAGAAAAGUCAUGUGUUGAAUGAACCGGGUCUAAAGAUGGUGAUUUUGUCACUUCUCUGCUUGCUUCCUGCCUUCAAAAUUCCCAUUCUUCUGCCCUUGCUGGUUUGGCUCAGUAGAUAGAGCAUCAACCUGUGGAAUAAAGGGUCCCUGGUUUGAUUCCAGUCUAGGCCACAUGCCUGGGUUGUGGGCUCGUUCCCCCAUAUGGGGUGUAUAGGAGGCAACUGAUUGAUGAUUCUUUCUCAUCAUUGAUGUUUCUAUCUCUCUCUCCCUCUCCCUUCCUCUCUGAAAUAAAUAAAAAAUAUAUUUUAAUAAAUUCCCAUUCUCCUCCUUAUCUUCUUCUAUUCUUUUAAUUUAGUUGAUCAAUAAGUCAGUCGAUGUUUGCUGUGUAGCAAUUACACUGUUUCUGUUGCAUGCAACUGUAAGCAUUUAUUGUUGGCCCAUGCACCCAUGGGUUGUCUAGGCUGGUUAGCUCCAUGCUGAGGAGGUAGUGUUUUACCUCGGGUAUGCUUAAGGCAAAGACCUUUGGGCAAUAGGAUAAGCUUAAUGCAUAAGUACAUUUUAAAUCUUUGCAAGUGGCCUGGCUCAUUGGCUCUCCCAAAGUCAAGGUGCAGGGCAGCUUCCUCCUCCCACUGGUGGACCAUCGCAAGGGUUUUGGGCAUAUUAUUGUGGGAGUUGAGAGAUAAUCAAGUCCUGCAGACACAAGCAGCAUCUUCCUCUUUUCCUUUGCCCCAUCUCUUCUCUGACUUGCCUGUUAGAGUGUAACAAUAUUGGCAAGAUCGGGCCACAGUAAGAUAGAGUCUUAGCAAGACCAUGAUCCCCAAGGAUGUAAUACCCAAGGAGGCUAUCCGGGGAUUUCCUAUGAAUGUUAGAUUUAUGGCUAAAACACUCUAGUAAUAUUCUACCCCUGUAGUUAAGCCUCUUGCAAUGUGAUUUUGAAGAUCUCAUCAAGAGUUAGCAUUCAUUUCCCUGCCUCUCGAAUCUGGGCUUACUGGUGACUUGCUUCGGCUCAUGGCAUGUAGUGGACCUUAUGGGAUGCCAAUUUCAAGCCUAGUCAUCCAGGAGCUUUCUCUCCUUGCUUACCGUCAUGAGCAUAAGCCCAGGCUAACUUGCUAAAAGGUGAGAAGACCAUUUAGGGAUGAGUUGAGACCUCUAAGUUGUCCCUGCUGAAGAAGACACUGGUGACCAGCUCACUGCAGGACACGAAGAGGUCUCAGAUCAACAAGCUGCCUGGCUGACCCAUAUGUGUAUGAGAAAUAAUACAUCUGUUUUGAGCCACUAAGUUUUGGAUGGCUUGUUAGGCAGAAGUACUAAUUUAAAUACCUUGGAGCUCCUCAUCUUGGUUGCUUUGUACCAUAGUAUCCCUUUUCCAAUCCUGCAUAUUUUGGGGGCAGGCUAGAGGUGAUAAACUAUCCCCUGGUACCUUCCAUAUUCCCCAAAGCCACAUCCUCACAGUUCUUGAGAUUUUUGUGACUCUUUCUGAGUAAGCAUUUAUAGUGGGUGGCUAUUUAUUUAGAAAGAGUAUAGAACACAAAUUGAUUUUGGAGAAUGUGAUUACUGAGACUAUAAAAAGCAAAGCAAAGCACACAAUGGCUUUGUGUUCAAGCUGUCAGAUGCAUUCUAAUUUCUGUAACAAUGGUAAUUAAUUUUAGCUGGAUAGAAAAUCCAUUUUCUUUGAGGAAUCAGUGAACGAUAGAGAAAAUUUGUCAGUAACCAUUGUCUGGAAUUUUAGUCUCCAGGAGGCACAAUCAUUUUACAAUGACAGCUAUUAUAUGGGAAAAUCAACCUAAGAGAAAGCUAUUAGGCACUACUGUACAUUUCUGUGACAAUGGGAUUGAAGUCAGAUAAAAAGGUAAGAGGCCUGAUAUCAAAGAUCUACUUUUUUCUCUCCUGUUUUCCCAGCACUAAAAUGUAAUAUAAAAAGUGAAAUGUAAAGAGAUAGGUGUGGUGGCUUACAGUUUAAAAUUUUACAUUAUCAAACAUAUUUCAGGGCAUGAUCUUUGGGGAUUCAGGAAAAUAGCCAUUUAUGAAAAUAUCAGGGGAAUGCUCUCUUUUUGCCAUUAAAUCUACAAUCCCACUGUAAAUUUUCUGUGGUUUAGUGUUUUGUUAUCAAUAUUUUCCUGCUCAUCACUGAACUCUAAUGGACUCAUUUUCACAUUUGUGGGCAUGUGCCACUACUUUAUUUUUUAUGGUGUACUGUGGUAGUUGAACUUUUGUACUGGUUUUAAACUAGACUACCAAAGCAAUGUGGAAUUUGUCACAAGUGAAAUCUGUAUAAAAGAUGUAAGGCAAUGUUUCAUAGUAUUUUUACGUGUACUGAUGAACUUAUUUAUCUACUUGGAAAAAGUUUUUCAGAUGUGGGGGUGUAUUUGCAUUGUUCCAUUCACUCAACCUCAUGUCCCUGACUGGAGGGCACAGAUGUUAUUAUUCUACUAGAGGCCUGCUGCACGAAGAUUUGUGCAAGAAUAGGCCUUCCUUCCCCUGGUUUCCCUCCUGGCCAUCCGGGAGCCUGCAAGUCCUCCUGUAGCUCCCUCCACCCUGAUCCUCCUCCUUCCCUUCCCCCGCAUAGCAAGCAUUCUGCCCCACCUGGCUGCUCCACACCUGCGUAUGCAAAUUAACCCAACAUCUUUGUUGGGUAAUUUUGCCUGUACACUCCUGAUUGGCUUAUAGAUGUCUCAGAGGUGUGAUUAAUUUGCAUUUUUCUCUUUUAUUAGUGUAGAUGUGAUGUUUGGGUAUGUACAUGCACUGAAUAAAUGCAUCAGGCAUUUUGGGGCUACAAAGGGGUUGGUCAGCUUCCAGGAAGCCUCUUUGUAGGGACAAUAGGAACAUGAAGGAGCCACACCUUCUUUGCCUUCUGACCCUUUCUUGUAAGUUUCUCCUCUAUAAAGCCUCUGCCUUAAAGUAUUUCAUGUGUUGUUUUGGAAUUCUUCCUGAGCCCUGGAGCUUGACAGGGAGUUGAUCACAAAAGGACUUGACUUGCAUAACAAUCUGUUUUUAAAUGACUCAUUAAGGGGAGAAAAUAAAUGUUUUUCUCUUAAGAA